rnacentral:miRNA from 1 species
AGAUCGGCGGGAAUUAGCCAUG